rfam:Sus scrofa chromosome X.
UCCCUGGUGGUCUAAUGGUUAGGAUUUGGUGCUUUCACCAUUGUGGCCCAGGUUCAAUCUCUGGUCUGGGAA